rnacentral:rRNA from 1 species
CCCGCUGAACUUAAGCAUAUCAGUAAGCGGAGGAAAAGAAACUAACAAGGAUUACCUCAGUAGCGGCGAGUGAAGAGGUAAAAGCUCAAAGUUUAAAUCUGAAAUUUUACGGUUUCAGAAUUGUAAUCUAAAGAACACUGUAGAAGGAUGUGGCCUCGCAUAAGUCCCUGGAACGGGACAGCAAAGAGGGUGAUACUCCCGUAUUUGGUGAAGGCCACGCCGUAUGCAGGGUUUCGAAGAGUCGGGUUGUUUGGGAUUGCAGCCCUAAAUGGGAGAUAAACUUCUUCUAAGGCUAAAUAUCUAUGGGAGACCGAUAGCGAACAAGUACUGCGAAGGAAAGAUGAAAAGAACUUUGAAAAGAGGGUUAAAAGACUUGAAAUCGUUGAAAAGGAAGCGGUAGAAGAAGUUUAUUUAGACUAGACGGUUGACGUGAAGAUCUGGGGUCUAUGCUUGUUGGAGUACUUCAUUGGCUUGAUGGGCAUAGCAUUACUUAAUCUUGCGACUUUAUCUAGUCUAAGAGACAAAAUGAGGUCAGUAUUGUGAGAAUCACUUAGCGAAGAGCCCCUAGCUUGCUAGGACUUGGCUAAGAAAGUCACAACCCUUGGCCUGAGGGUCCCUAGUGGAGAUUUUGUCAAAAUGGCUUCUACCGACCCGUCUUGAAACACGGACCAAGGAGUCUAACCAAUAUGCAAGUUUGCGGGUGGAAAAACCCAUAGGCGUAAUGAAAGUGAGUAUAAGAUGUGAAACUGGCAACAGUGGCAACAUCGGCCGACCUUGAUCUUCUGAGAAGGGUUUGAGCAAGAGCAUAUUUGUUAGGACCCGAAAGAUGGUGAACUAUACUUGAGUAGGGUGAAGCCAGGGGAAACUCUGGUGGAAGCUCGUAGCGAUACUGACGUGCAAAUCGUUCGUCAAACUUGAGUAUAGGGGCGAUAGACUAAUCGAACCAUCUAGUAGCUGGGUUCCCUCUGAAGUUUCUCUCGGGAUAGCAAGAACAAUAACGCAGUUUUAUCAGGUAAAGCGAAUGAUUAGAGGAAUCUGGGGUCCAAGACUCUAGACCUAUUCUCAAACUU